rnacentral:rRNA from 1 species
UGGGGAAUAUUCCGCAAUGGGUUAACGCCUGACGGAGCGACGCCGCGUGGAUGAUGAAGGUCUUCGGAUUGUAAAGUCCUGUAGAAGGGGAAGAUGGUCUACCGUAAGGUAGAUUGACGGUACUCUUAAAGUAAGCUACGGCAAACUCUGUGCCAGCAGCCGCGGUAAUACAGAGGUAGCAAGCGUUGUUCGGAAUGACUGGGUGUAAAGCGCAUGUAGGCUGUUUUAUAAGUUGAAUGUGAAAUCCUUUGGCUCAACCAAAGAAUGGCAUUCAAAACUAUAUAACUUGAGUAUGGGAGAGGAAAGUGGAAUUUCUGGUGUAGCGGUGAAAUGCGUAGAUAUCAGAAGGAACACCGGUGGCGAAGGCGACUUUCUGGACCAUAACUGACGCUGAGAUGCGAAAGCUAGGGGAGCAAACAGG